UGGGGAAUUUUGGACAAUGGGCGAAAGCCUGAUCCAGCAAUGCCGCGUGUGUGAAGAAGGCCUUCGGGUCGUAAAGCACUUUUGUCCGGAAAGAAAUCCUUGGCUCUAAUACAGUCGGGGGAUGACGGUACCGGAAGAAUAAGCACCGGCUAACUACGUGCCAGCAGCCGCGGUAAUACGUAGGGUGCAAGCGUUAAUCGGAAUUACUGGGCGUAAAGCGUGCGCAGGCGGUUUGCUAAGACCGAUGUGAAAUCCCCGGGCUCAACCUGGGAACUGCAUUGGUGACUGGCAGGCUAGAGUAUGGCAGAGGGGGGUAGAAUUCCACGUGUAGCAGUGAAAUGCGUAGAGAUGUGGAGGAAUACCGAUGGCGAAGGCAGCCCCCUGGGCCAAUACUGACGCUCAUGCACGAAAAGCGUGGGGAGCAAAACAGGAUUAGAUACCCUGGUAGUCCACGCCCUAAACGAUGUCAACUAGUUGUUGGGGAUUCAUUUCCUUAGUAACGUAGCUAACGCGUGAAGUUGACCGCCUGGGGAGUACGGUCGCAAGAUUAAAACUCAAAUGAAUUGACGGGGUCAUAGCUGUUUCCU
rnacentral:rRNA from 1 species